AGAGUUUGAUCCUGGCUCAGAACGAACGCUGGCGGCAGGCUUAACACAUGCAAGUCGAACGCCCCGCAAGGGGAGUGGCAGACGGGUGAGUAACGCGUGGGAAUCUACCCAAUUCUUCGGAACAACUGAGGGAAACUUCAGCUAAUACCGGAUGUGCCCUUCGGGGGAAAGAUUUAUCGGAAUUGGAUGAGCCCGCGUUGGAUUAGCUAGUUGGUGGGGUAAAGGCCUACCAAGGCGACGAUCCAUAGCUGGUCUGAGAGGAUGAUCAGCCACACUGGGACUGAGACACGGCCCAGACUCCUACGGGAGGCAGCAGUGGGGAAUAUUGGACAAUGGGCGCAAGCCUGAUCCAGCCAUGCCGCGUGAGUGAUGAAGGUCUUAGGAUUGUAAAGCUCUUUCACCGGUGAAGAUAAUGACGGUAACCGGAGAAGAAGCCCCGGCUAACUUCGUGCCAGCCGCCGCGGUAAUAC
rnacentral:rRNA from 1 species